CCUACGGGAGGCAGCAGUGGGGAAUAUUGGUCAAUGGGCGCGAGCCUGAACCAGCCAAGUCGCGUGAAGGAUGACUGCCCUACGGGUUGUAAACCUCUUUUAUAAAGGAAUAAAGUGAGGCACGUGUGCCUUUUUGUAUGUACUUUAUGAAUAAGGAUCGGCUAACUCCGUGCCAGCAGCCGCGGUAAUACGGAGGAUCCGAGCGUUAUCCGGAUUUAUUGGGUUUAAAGGGUGCGUAGAUGGGUUGUUAAGUCAGUUGUGAAAGUGUGCGGCUCAACCGUAAAAUUGCAAUUGAUACUGGCAGGCUUGAGUACAGUUGAGGGAGGCGGAAUUCGUGGUGUAGCGGUGAAAUGCUUAGAUAUCACGAAGAACUCCGAUUGCGAAGGCAGCCUACUAGGCUGCCACUGACGUUGAUGCUCGAAAGUGUGGGUAUCAAACAGGAUUAGAUACCCGUGUAGUC
rnacentral:rRNA from 1 species